rnacentral:rRNA from 1 species
UACAGAGGGGGCAAGCGUUGUUCGGAAUUACUGGGCGUAAAGGGCGCGUAGGCGGCCCGCUAAGUCGAACGUGAAAUCCCCGAGCUCAACUCGGGAACUGCGUCCGAUACUGGCGGGCUUGAAUCCGGGAGAGGGAUGCGGAAUUCCAGGUGUAGCGGUGAAAUGCGUAGAUAUCGUUUGGAACGCCAAUGGUGAAAACAAGUAGCUGGGGAUGUGCCGACGCUGAGACACGAAAGCCAGGGGAGCGAACGGG